GACGAACGCUUGCGGCGUGCUUAACACAUGCAAGUCGAACGGAAAGGCCCUGCUUUUGUGGGGUGCUCGAGUGGCGAACGGGUGAGUAACACGUGAGUAACCUGCCCUUGACUUUGGGAUAACUCCAGGAAACUGGGGCUAAUACCGGAUAGGAGCUCCUGCUGCAUGGUGGGGGUUGGAAAGUUUCGGCGGUUGGGGAUGGACUCGCGGCUUAUCAGCUUGUUGGUGGGGUAGUGGCUUACCAAGGCUUUGACGGGUAGCCGGCCUGAGAGGGUGACCGGCCACAUUGGGACUGAGAUACGGCCCAGACUCCUACGGGAGGCAGCAGUGGGGAAUAUUGCACAAUGGGCGGAAGCCUGAUGCAGCAACGCCGCGUGCGGGAUGACGGCCUUCGGGUUGUAAACCGCUUUCGCCUGUGACGAAGCGUGAGUGACGGUAAUGGGUAAAGAAGCACCGGCUAACUACGUGUCAGCAGCCGCGGUGAUACGUAGGGUGCGAGCGUUGUCCGGAUUUAUUGGGCGUAAAGGGCUCGUAGGUGGUUGAUCGCGUCGGAAGUGUAAUCUUGGGGCUUAACCCUGAGCGUGCUUUCGAUACGGGUUGACUUGAGGAAGGUAGGGGAGAAUGGAAUUCCUGGUGGAGCGGUGGAAUGCGCAGAUAUCAGGAGGAACACCAGUGGCGAAGGCGGUUCCCUGGGCCUUUCCUGACGCUGAGGAGCGAAAGCGUGGGGAGCGAACAGGCUUAGAUACCCUGGUAGUCCACGCUGUAAACGGUGGGUACUAGGUGUGGGGUCCAUUCCACGGGUUCCGUGCCGUAGCUAACGCUUUAAGUACCCCGCCUGGGGAGUACGGCCGCAAGGCUAAAACUCAAAGGAAUUGACGGGGCCCCGCACAAGCGGCGGAGCAUGCGGAUUAAUUCGAUGCAACGCGUAGAACCUUACCUGGGUUUGACAUGGAUCGGGAGUGCUCAGAGAUGGGUGUGCCUCUUUUGGGGUCGGUUCACAGGUGGUGCAUGGCUGUCGUCAGCUCGUGUCGUGAGAUGUUGGGUUAAGUCCCGCAACGAGCGCAACCCUUGUUCACUGUUGCCAGCACGUUAUGGUGGGGACUCAGUGGAGACCGCCGGGGUCAACUCGGAGGAAGGUGGGGAUGACGUCAAGUCACCAUGCCCCUUAUGUCCAGGGCUUCACGCAUGCUACAAUGGCUGGUACAGAGAGUGGCGAGCCUGUGAGGGUGAGCGAAUCUCGGAAAGCCGGUCUCAGUUCGGAUUGGGGUCUGCAACUCGACCUCAUGAAGUCGGAGUCGCUAGUAAUCGCAGAUCAGCAACGCUGCGGUGAAUACGUUCCCGGGGCU
rnacentral:rRNA from 1 species